GUACUGUUCCUCUGUAUCCGUUUACAUAUCUUUUAAAGAAUAAAAUCAUAUGUAUUUAUUGACAUUUGUGUAUACUCAAAGAACUUAGCUGGAUGUUCUCUGAGAUCUGUAUAUAGAUGGUGAAUUCUCCUAGCCGUUUUAUUUGUUGGUUGAUAUGGUUAACACUAUAUUUUCUUUCAUUUCUAGUUGUCAACAAUUGUAAAUAUACAUUUGUGUCUAAAAAGAAUAAGCCCUCAAUGCCAUCGAGAGACAUCUUCAAACACUUUCACGAAACUCGA